GUUGAAACCUCAUGUCAGCAGUAUAAUUUGUCAAGUCAAGCCUAUAAGUGUAUUUCCCCAAAAUGAAUGACUACAUCAAAAUUCAAGAUCUUCUGGAUUUAUCUACGGAUAAAUUCAACGAGUUGCGGGAUAGAGUUUACACGUCUCUGCUUUCUAACUCUUCCAGAAAAAUGUCCUGCAGCGUCUUGUCUGAUAAUACAUCGAGAGAUGCGGUGGGGAUUGAAUUACAGGAUGACGAUUCAGUAAUUUAUAUCCCCGCAGUAGAUGAGGAAGAAGAUGAUAACAACGACAACACGUUGGUAGAAGAUUCCGCACCAUUAGCAAGUAAGAGUGUGUUACCUCUUGAGGUUCCAACAGUGGGGAAGUCUUGUAAACGCAGUGCCUCAUCACCUAUCUCUGAAUUACUCAAAUCGGAUAAAAAGUCCGAGGACUUCAUUCGCUGCAAUAUUAACAUCACCCAAAGACGAAAAACAAGUAAAAAAUGAAGCAAUUUUGAUAUGCUCUACACCAGAAGUAACAACAAAUGCCUUGCGUGGACUCGAAGCCGAUAAAUUGCACGAUAUAUCCCCAAUUCCUAAAGAGACAAAUGUUAUAGAUUCAACUGAAGUUAAAAGCCAUAACAACGUAGAAUGUUCAUGUGCAUCAACUUGUAAACAAAUACAGAAAAUGGUUGCUGAUGUGCACCGUUUGUUGACUUCUGACGGACCAUUAGGCAAACUCAAAAAGUUAAUGAAUCUUGGAGACGCAUUCGAAAAGUAUCAACUUGAACACGCAGAACUACCCCAUCAGAUCAAUACAAACAACAUUGUGUCGACAAUAUAAAA